rnacentral:rRNA from 1 species
GACGAACGCUGGCGGCGUGCUUAACACAUGCAAGUCGAACGGUGAAGCUCCAGCUUGCUGGAGUGGAUCAGUGGCGAACGGGUGAGUAACACGUGAGCAACCUGCCCCUGACUCUGGAAUAAGCGCUGGAAACGGCGUCUAAUACUGGAUACGAGAAGGGUCCGCAUGGGCACUUUCUGGAAAGUUCUUCGGUUGGGGAUGGGCUCGCGGCCUAUCAGCUUGUUGGUGAGGUAAUGGCUCACCAAGGCUACGACGGGUAGCCGGCCUGAGAGGGCGACCGGCCACACUGGGACUGAGACACGGCCCAGACUCCUACGGGAGGCAGCAGUGGGGAAUAUUGCACAAUGGGCGAAAGCCUGAUGCAGCGACGCCGCGUGAGGGAUGACGGCCUUCGGGUUGUAAACCUCUUUCAGCAGGGAAGAAGCGAAAGUGACGGUACCUGCAGAAGAAGCACCGGCUAACUACGUG